AGAGUGAACGCUGGCGGCAGGCUUAACACAUGCAAGUCGAACGGCAGCACAGGGGAGCUUGCUCCCUGGGUGGCGAGUGGCGGACGGGUGAGGAAUACAUCGGAAUCUACCCAGUCGUGGGGGAUAACCUCGGGAAACCGGGACUAAUACCGCAUACGACCCACGGGUGAAAGCGGAGGACCGCAAGGCUUCGCGCGAUUGGAUGAGCCGAUGUCGGAUUAGCUUGUUGGCGGGGUAAUGGCCCACCAAGGCGACGAUCCGUAGCUGGUCUGAGAGGAUGAUCAGCCACACUGGAACUGAGACACGGUCCAGACUCCUACGGGAGGCAGCAGUGGGGAAUAUUGGACAAUGGGCGGAAGCCUGAUCCAGCAACGCCGCGUGAGGAUGACGG
rnacentral:rRNA from 1 species